rnacentral:rRNA from 1 species
GACGAACGCUGGCGGCGUGCUUAACACAUGCAAGUCGAACGGAAAGGCCCUGCUUGCAGGGUACUCGAGUGGCGAACGGGUGAGUAACACGUGGGUGAUCUGCCCUGCACUUCGGGAUAAGCUUGGGAAACUGGGUCUAAUACCGGAUAGGAACCAUCUUUAGUGUGGUGGUUGGAAAGUUUUUUCGGUGUGGGAUGAGCUCGCGGCCUAUCAGCUUGUUGGUGGGGUAAUGGCCUACCAAGGCGGCGACGGGUAGCCGGCCUGAGAGGGUGUACGGCCACAUUGGGACUGAGAUACGGCCCAGACUCCUACGGGAGGCAGCAGUGGGGAAUAUUGCACAAUGGGCGCAAGCCUGAUGCAGCGACGCCGCGUGGGGGAUGAAGGCCUUCGGGUUGUAAACUCCUUUCGCUAGGGACGAAGCUUUUUGUGACGGUACCUAGAUAAGAAGCACCGGCUAACUACGUG